rnacentral:lncRNA from 1 species
UGUGUGCAUAUGUCUUUAUAGCAACAUGAUUUAUAAUCCUUUGGGUAUACACCCAGUAAUGAGAUGGUUGGGUCAUAUGAUAUUUCUAGUUCUAGAUCCUUGAGGAAUUGCCAUACUGUUUUCUACAAUGGUUGAACCAGUUUACAAUCCUACCAACAGUGUAAGUGUUCAUAUUUCUCCACAUCCUCCCCAGCACCUGUUGUUUCCUGACUUUUUAAUGAUUGCCAUUCUAACUGGUGUGAGAUGGUAUCUCAUUGUGGUUUUGAUUUGCAUUUCUCUGAUGGCCAGUGAUGAGCAUUUUUUCAUGUGUCUGUUGGCUGUAUGAAUGUCUUCUUUUGAGAAAUGUCUGUUCAUAUCCUUUGCCCACUUUUUGAUGGGAUUGUUUUUUUCCUGUAAACUUGUUUGAGUUCUCUAAGUUCUGGAUAUUAGCCCUUUGUCAGAUGAGUAGAUUGCAAAAAUUUUCUCCCAUUCUGUAGGUUGCCUGUUCACUCUGAUGGUAGUUUCUUUUGCUGUGCAGAAGCUCUUUAAUUAGAUCCCAUUUGUGAAUUUUGGCUUUUGUUGCCAUUGCUUUUGGUGUUUUAGACAUGAAGUCCUUGCCCAUGCCUAUGUCCUGAAUGGUAUUACCUAGGUUUCUUCUAGGGUUUUUAUGGUUUUAGGUAUUAAGAAAAUGUGGCACAUAUAUACCAUGGAAUACUAUGCAGCCAUAAAAAAGGAUGAGUUCGUGUCCUUUGUAGGGACAUGGAUCGAGCUAGAAACCCAUCAUUCUCAGCAAACUAUUGCAAGAACAGAAAACCAAACACUGCAUGUUCUCACUCAUAGGUGGGAAUUGAACAAUGAGAUCACUUGGACUCUGGAAGGGGAACAUCACACACCAGGGCCUAUUAUGGGGGGGGAGGGGGGAAGGAUGGCAUUGGGGGUUAUACCUGAUGUAAAUGAUGGGUUGACGGGUGCUGACGAGUUGAUGGGUGCAACACACCAACAUGGCACAAGUAUACAUAUGUAACAAACCUGCACGUUAUGCACGUGUACCCUAGAACUUAAAAGUGUAAUUUUUUAAAAAA